UUGGGGACAUCUUGGGGUCUUCAAAUGGGAGUUGAGGUCUUCAAAUGAGAGUUGGGGACAUCUUGGGGUCUUCAGAUGAGAGUUGGGGACAUCUUGGGGUCUUCAAAUGAAAGUUGGGGACGUUUUGGGGUCUUCAGGCAGAUGUUUGGGACAUCUUGGGGUCUUCAAAUGAAAGUUGGGGACAUCUUGGGGUCCUCAAAUGAGAGUUGGGGACAUCUUGGGGACAUCUUGGGGUCUUCAGAUGAAAGUUGAGAUCUUCUGAUGAGAGUUGGAGACAUCUUGGGGUCUUCAGGCAGGAGUUGGAGACAUCUUGGGGUCUUCAAAUGGGAGUCGGGGACAUCUUGGGGUCUUCAGAUGAAAGUUGGGGACGUUUUGGGGUCUUCAGGCAGAUGUUUGGGACAUCUUGGGGUCUUCAGAUGGGAGUUGGGGGCAUCUUGGGGUCCUCAAAUGAAAGUUGAG